rnacentral:lncRNA from 1 species
UUUCAAAACAUUUAUAAUUACUAGGAGAUUUUAUUUUAUUUUAAAUCGAAUUUUAUAAAAUUUGCAUAAAGUAUACUGUUAUAAAAAUAAAUAUUUUCAAAGACCAAAGAUUUAUUUUUUGAAAAAAGAUAAAUAUCAAGAUUAGCAAAUUUAAGAUUUUGACAGGUGAGUAAAACAAGUGACUAUAUUAUGUGUUAAAAGUAUAGGGCUAAUGACAGGUAAAUAUUUUAUUGAUUUGUCUUUGAUAAAAUGAUGACAGAGCUAUUUUUUUUAAAUAUAGUGCUAUGAUUAUACAAUCAAAUACUUUGAAGGAAAUAUUGAAAAAAAGUAGACUGAUUGGUGUAAGAAUUAAAUUGUUCAGGAAAACACCUAUUUAUUUCCUGACACUAGUCAACUUGUUAACAACAACAUUUGUAAAUAAAUAAUUCAAUUAGCCAAACUGAUCUUGUGGUUAUAUGUCCCCAACCGACAAAUUCGAAGGUGACUUAAGGUUGGAGCCAAUCUGGAAAAACAGUUUUUCCACACUUUUUAUGACCCACCUACGAUAGUAGAGGGGGCAUUAUGUUUUCUGGUCUGUGUGUAUUUUAGUUUCACCGUUCAUCUGUUCGCCCGUCUGCCAUGCUUC